UCUCAUGGACAAGCAAAGAAAGUGGUUCCCUGCGAUGGCAUCUACUCCUGGUGAAGAUGCUGUGAA
rnacentral:pre_miRNA from 1 species